UUUUUUUGGACAAGACUGAAUUAUUCCGUCCAAUUACAAAAUAAAAGGAAAACCUAAUAUCGCACCUCCCAAGCCUUCAUCGAACAGGAUACAAAAUCGCACAUCCCCUAACCUUCAUCGAACGACAUGAUUAACAAAAUUGGCAUAUCAGGUCUCCGACCAGCUUUUCCCUCAGAUAACUCCUCUUCUUGCUUCUCUUCUUACCCAUCAGUGCGAUUUAUCAUUGGGUUUAGAUUGGUGUUGCUCGAUUAUGCUCAAUAUUCAUUGUCAGUAUUCUCCCUUUUAUACGACUCCAACUUCUCUUUUCAUGUAGGUUCAAGAUUGUUGCAAAAAUCAUUCUUCUCUUUCACUAUCUAGUCUUUAUUGCUAAAAAGUUCUGUUUACCAGAUACAAAUUGUGAUUUUUUAUAUCCAGCUAUUGUUUUGAGAUUUGUAUAUUAUAGUUUUUUCGCAUAUGUUAAAUCGUUUUUGAUAUACGAUUGCUGUUAAAUUGAUGUGUGAUUGAUUGAGUUUAUUCCUCCUCUGUUUCUCUAUUAUUUUUUGAAUUGGUUCCUCUGUAUGUUUUUUAAGUCUACUAUUAUUCUUGUGAAUUUUCAGAAAUUUUCUAAAUGUCUUCGAUGUAUAUUGAUGUUUUCAUUGAAUCCAUCACUAGCCGAGAUAUGAAUUCCACUAGUCAGACAUAUAUAUUGGUUUUAUUAUUUUGUUAAUUGAUGCGAGCUUUCCUGAUUUUCAUAAAUCUGACGCAUCUGUACGAAAUAAGCAUGUGGUCAUUUUGAUUGAUUUGAUCAUUUUUUUCUAAUUGUUUCUCCACUAGGUUGUUAGUUUUACUAAUGCAAGUUUCAUAAGGAUUUUGACAAGUUAUUAGAAGUGUUAUAGCAAUGGACUUAUAUUCUUCCCAUAUCCUACAUGUCGAGAAGUAUUUGAUUGUUAAUGUUUCGACUGUUAAAAGAUCAUUGAUAAUAACUGUUUAGUGAGAUUUAUGAAGCAUAUAACUCUUUUGGUCGGCUGCCCAAUUAUUAUAUUAGUAUAUAUCAUUGUAUUUUUCUGUGGCAGCACUUGUGCGUGCUCUACCCCACCACGAAAAUGAUAGUUUUGGUUCUUCAUAUUGACAGAUGAUAUAGAACUAUCUAUUAAUGCAGUUGUAUUAGUACUAUCAGGCUUGUAAUGGUUUCUAGAUUGUAUUCCUUUUGUUUUCCUAUUUUUUGGUCUUACAUUAGGUCCUAAUGAAUCACGGCAACUAGCUACAACAACUAGGUAUACUAGAGGUUAAUUAAAAUUGUGAAACACUAGUAGUAUAAUAAUAUGAGAUUUUUGUGUUGCCUAUGUUAUUUACUUCUUCAUUUAAAUUGACGCGGCAAACGUUUUGCUCUUGGUAGGGUUAAGUUGUUCUUGAGAUUGUUAUUUCUUAUUAGCUUAAAGAGAAAACUAUCCUGAUUGGUGUUCAAGUUCUAUUUCAUUGAAUCAAAUGUUUGUUUGUAUAUUGAGUUAAUUAAUUGUCUUUUCACAUUUAUUGUGAAAUCAUCUGAAUAACUGUUGUGAUUGUAGAAGAGACAAUAUUCUCUUGAAUUAUGAUGGAUAACUCUAGAAAUAGAAGUUGGAUGUCUUGUUGGGGUACUCAAGAAUAUUUGGAUGGAGUUGAAACUUUUUUAGUUAUGCAUUUCGUGAAAAAGAUAAUGCAAACACAAUUCCUCGCCCAUGCAAACACAAUCCUUGCCCAAUUCAAGAAUAUUUGUGCUUAAAAUAUGAAAAAAUUUCAUGCUAAUGACUGUAUGCUUUUUAGGAAGGAAUUGCUAGUAAGAAUGUUACUGAAUGCUUAAUUUGUGGGGCUUCUAGAUGGAAAAAUAAUGGUAAAAAAUUCCAGCCAAGGUCCAAAGGUAUUUUCCUCUAAAACCAGAUUGCAAAGGUUAUUCAUGUCUUUAGAAACUUCUAAACUAAUGCGAUGUCAUCAUAAAGGACGCAACAAAGAUGGUGUUCUACGGCAUCCUGCAGAUUCUGAAGCUUGAAUUUUUUUGAUAGUAAGUAUGUAGACUUUGCUAGAUAUCCACGUAAUGUUCGCCUAGGAUUAGCUUCUGAUAGGUUUAAUCCAUUUGGCACAAUGCGAACUGUUCGCCUAGAACGCUUCAACAUGAAGAAUGCUAAGCCAGUCAGCACACCUCUUGCUAGUCAUCUAAAUGGCUAUCUCAGGAGAAGUACAUUGAACGUGUACUAGAAUGCUUCAACAUGAAAAAUGCUAAGCCAGUCAGUACACCUCUUGCUAGUCAUCUAAAAUUGAGCAAAAAGAUGUGUCCUACAACAGAGGAGGAGAAAGGAAACAUGGCUAGAGUUCCUUAUUCUUCAGCAGUCGGAAGCUUGAUGCAUGCAAUGGUAUGUAUUAGACUUGAUAUUGCUCACGCAGUUGGUGUUGUGAGCAGGUUUCUUGAAAAUCCUGGAAAGGAAUAUUGGGAAGUAGUCAAGUGGAUACUCAGGUAUAUGGGAGGCACCACGGGAGAUGGUUUAUGCUUUGGAGGAUCUGAUCCAAUCUUGAAGGGCUAUACAGAUGCUGAUAUGACAGGUGACAUUGACAAUAGAAAAUCCACUACUGGAUAUUUGUUUACAUUUUCAGGGGGAGCUAUAUCAUGGCAGUCUAAGUUGCAGAAGUGUGUUGCACUUUCAACAACUGAAGAAGAGUACAUUGCCGCUACAGAAACUGGCAAGGAGAUUAUAUGGCUCGAACGGUUCCUUCAAGAGCUUGGAUUGCAUCAAAAGGAGUAUAUCGUCUAUUGUGAUAGCCAAAGUGCAAGAGACCUUAGCAGGAACUCUAUGUACCAUGCAAGGACCAAACACAU
rnacentral:lncRNA from 1 species